AGGUUCUUCUUGAAAUUCUAUGAAGAAAUUAAAACAGGUACAUGUUUAUUUGUCCACAUUGGUAAAGCACGGUUGUUGCUCUAGCAAUGAACAGACGAUACAACUGUCAAGGGACAAACUGAUUUUCUUGUCAAGGAAAUAAAUCUUCAACUUCACGAAGGUGCUUCUGGAUUAUACACACUUGGGUGUUUUCUGAUCAGUCUCACUCAGGGGGCUGCAAAGAUGAGUCUUCAUUCAGAAUAAAGAAAGGAAGACCCAGGUCUCUGUGUCUUCCUGGAUAUGUCCCCUACUUCCCUAUCUCUGCCUAGCUAGGCUGCAUUGUCUCACCUCAGAGGCAAAGGAUGUGCAAAGUGAGGAGAUAACCAUGGGGCUCCAACCUACACAGAGGAG
ensembl:lncRNA